UACGGGGGGAGCAAGCGUUGUUCGGAUUUACUGGGCGUAAAGGGCGCGUAGGCGGUCAGCACAAGUCAGUUGUGAAAUCUCCGGGCUUAACUCGGAAAGGUCAACUGAUACUGUGCGACUAGAGUGCGGAAGGGGCAACUGGAAUUCUCGGUGUAGCGGUGAAAUGCGUAGAUAUCGAGAGGAACACCUGCGGCGAAGGCGGGUUGCUGGGCCGACACUGACGCUGAGGCGCGAAAGCUAGGGGAGCAAACAGG
rnacentral:rRNA from 1 species